AUAUAUAUAUAGUUUUGAUAUAUGAAGUGUCAUGACUCGGAACACCCAUCGGGCCCAUGACAACCGCCGCGACGUCUUGAUAGGCAUUCAUUACCCGGAAUGCCGAUCGAAAUCCCGUAAGGCUUAGCAUCAGCUUCUGCAUCUCCCCGGUGAGCGAUAGUUAUUAAAUCUUGUAUUUCAAGAAAUCAUAAGUCAUUUCCAGAUCAAAAUAAUAUAAUAUUAUUUUCUAGCUCACAAGGGCAUUUUCGUCAUUUUUCUUCGAAAAUACCAAAACUUGCCAAAAACAUGGUGUGUGGGUGAAAAACACAUGUUUCAUAAUUAAAAGUAAAUUUAGAUGUCUAAAAUAAUUAUUUGAAAUGAAAUUAUAAUUAUUUGAAUAAAAUAUUCUAUUUUCUAAAUAAAAAAAUAAUAUUUAUAGAGAAAUCCGUAAUUUAAUUUUUGUAGUGUAAAAGCUAAAUAUAUUCAUACGUACUUUAAAGCAGAUAGCUGAAAUAUUAAAUUACUUUUACAGUGAUACGUGGGCCCUCAACUAACCAAUAAGGUGCGAGUUUGUGAACCUACAAUUUUGUCGAUGCAAGGCUAACUGAAGUGCUUGAUGCAAUCGGCUAUCUACCAGCUAUCCUGAGCCUGAAAUGUGGGGAAUUGAGGGUGGUGAGAUUAUAAAAUCCCAGUGAGUAAACAGAUACCAUCUAAACCAUCUAAAGUCGAGUAAAUGGAGACAAGUAAGAUAUUCCAUU
rnacentral:lncRNA from 1 species